AUUCCAGCUCCAAUAGCGUAUAUUAAAGUUGUUGCAGUUAGAACGCUCGUAGUCGGAUUUCGGGGCGGUCCGACCGGUCUGCCGAUGGGUACGCACUGGUCGGAGCGUCCUUUUUGCCGGAGACCGUGCCUACUCUUAACUGAGCGGGGGCGGGAGACGGCACUUUUACUUUGAAAAAAUCAGAGUGUUUCAAGCAGGCAGCUCGCUCUUGCAUGGAUUAGCAUGGGAUAAUGAAAUAGGACUUUGGUGCUAUUUUGUUGGUUUCGAACACCGAAGUAAUGAUGAGAAGGGACAGUCAGGGGCACUCGUAUUCCGCCGAGAGAGGUGAAAUUCUCAGACCAGCGGAAGACGAACCACUGCGAAAGCAUUUGCCAGGGAUGUUUUCAUUA
rnacentral:rRNA from 1 species